GAUGAACGCUGGCGGCGUGCUUAACACAUGCAAGUCGAACGGAAAGGCCCUGCUUUUGUGGGGUGCUCGAGUGGCGAACGCGUGAGUAACACGUGAGUAACCUGCCCUUGUCUUUGUGAUAACUUUAGGAAACUGGGGCUAAUACCGCAUAGGAGCUCUUGCUCCAUGGUGUGGGUUGGAAAGAUUCGGCGUUUGGGGAUGGACUCGCUGCUUAUCAGCUUGUUUGUGGGGUAGUGGCUUACCAAGGCUUUGACGGGUAGCCGGCCUGAGAGGGUGACCGGCCACAUUGGGACUGAGAUACGGCACAGACUCCUACGGGAGGCAGCAGUGGGGAAUAUUGCACAAUGGGCGGAAGCCUGAUGAAGCAGCGCCGCGUGCGGGAUGACGGCCUUCGGGGUGUAAACCGCUUUCGCCUGUGACGAAGCGUGAGUGACGGUAAUGGGUAAAGAAGCACCGGCUAACUACGUG
rnacentral:rRNA from 1 species